rnacentral:lncRNA from 1 species
AGGGGCUUCACUUCGCCUAAGGGUCGACACCUUUCUUCCGCCUGAGAGUUUAGCCACUCAGCCAUUCCAUCGGUGCCCUUUUCGACUCCGAGUGCUCUUCGCACCAGUCUUCGCCAUCCCCGCCGGCUCCCCACCGUCUUCAGUCCUCCAAGCCUCUUCGAGGGGUUCUCCCACUGGGGCUCCCACCCCAGCGGCUAACCUCGAGAGGAUGCCACAGAUCGAGAGGAGUGUGAGGAGAAAAAUAGUGGCCUGCGAGUUCUCCGGCUGUCAAACUAUCCCUGAGGAUUUUCGUCGCCUCAAAGGGGGCUCGAGGGAGAAUUCCUUCAACAACAGGGAUUUAAUAAUGGGGACAAC